UUCAAGGUGGUGCAAGUGAGUGGUUGGCUAGACUACUGGUAAUAACACCCCCAUUUGCAUGACCCUGAG
rnacentral:miRNA from 1 species